GUGAGGAAUAUUGCACAAUGGGCGAAAGCCUGAUGCAGCAACGCCGCGUGAGGGACGAAGGCCUUCGGGUCGUAAACCUCUUUUCUGGGGGAAGAGAUCAGGACGGUACCUCAGGAAUAAGUCUCGGCUAACUACGUGCCAGCAGCCGCGGUAAAACGUAGGAGGCGAGCGUUAUCCGGAUUUACUGGGCGUAAAGCGCACGCAGGCGGCUCCGUUAGUCGGACGUGAAAGCUCCUGGCUUAACUGGGAGAGGCCGUUCGAUACUGCGGGGCUUGAGGUUGGGAGAGGGGUGUGGAAUUCCCGGUGUAGUGGUGGAAUGCGUAGAGAUCGGGAGGAACACCUGUGGCGAAAGCGGCACCCUGGCCCACACCUGACGCUGAGGUGCGAAAGCGUGGGUAGCAAACAGGAUUAGAUACCCCGGUAGUCC
rnacentral:rRNA from 1 species